AGAGUUUGAUCCUAGCUCAGGAUGAACGCUGGCGGCGUGGAUAAGGCAUGCAAGUCAAGGGGGUACUGAGGCGCAAGCUGAAGUGCAACCGGCGAACGAGGUAGUAACACGUGGGUACAUACUCCAAAGUCAGGAAUAACCAGUCGAAAGAUUGGAUAAUACUUGAUAAUGUCUUCGGACUAAAGAUUUAUCGCUUUGGAAAUGGCCUGCGGAGUAUCAGCUAGUUGGUAGUGUAAUGGACUACCAAGGCUAUGACGCUUAGGGGAGCUGAGAGGCUGACCCCCACCGAUGGUACUGAGACACGGACCAUACACCUACGGGUGGCCGCAGUCGAGAAUCUUCCGCAAUGGACGAAAGUCUGACGGAGCGACGCCGCGUGAUGGAUGAAGACCCUCUGGGUCGUAAACAUCUUUUAUGAGGGAGAAAGUUUAUUGAUAGUACCUCACGAAUAAGGGGUUGCUAAACUCGUGCCAGCAGCAGCGGUAAUACGAGUGCCCCGAGCGUUAUCCGGAAUCAUUGGGCGUAAAGGGUGUGUAGGUGGCAGUGUUAGUCGGUUGUUAAAACCCGGAGCUUAACUCCGGACUCGCGAUCGAAACGGCACAGCUAGAGGAUGGCAGGGAUCUGUGGAACUCAUGGAGUAGGGGUGAAAUCCGUUGAUAUCAUGGGGAACACCGAAAGCGAAGGCAGCAGAUUGGGCCACUCCUGACACUGAAACACGAAAGCGUGGGUAGCGAAUGGGAUUAGAUACCCCAGUAGUCCACGCCCUAAACGUUGAUAACUAGCUUUUCAGAGUAUCGACCCUCCGAGAGGCGAAGCAAACGCGUUAAGUUAUCCGCCUGGGUAGUACGACCGCAAGGUUAAAACUCAAAGGAAUAGACGGGGACUUGCACAAGCAGUGGAUUAUGUGGUUUAAUUCGAUGAUAAACGAAAAACCUUACCAAGGUUUGAAACCUAGCUGAAUACUCGGAGAAACUCGAGUAGUCCCACAAGGACAGUUAGGCAGGUGAUGCAUGGCCGUCGUCAGUUCGUGAUUUGAAUUGUUCCCUUAAGUGGGGUAACGAACGCAACCCUCGUUGUCUGUUAUACGUAUCAGGCGAGACUGCCCAGCUUUUUGAGCGUAAGCUCAAAAAGCGAGUUAUAAAGU
rnacentral:rRNA from 1 species